UACGUAGGGGGCAAGCGUUGUCCGGAUUUAUUGGGCGUAAAGAGCGUGUAGGCGGCCAUGUAGGUCCGUUGUGAAAACUCGAGGCUCAACCUCGAGACGCCGAUGGAAACCAUAUGGCUAGAGUCCGGAAGAGGAGAGUGGAAUUCCUGGUGUAGCGGUGAAAUGCGCAGAUAUCAGGAAGAACACCCGUGGCUAAGGCGGCUCUCUAGUACGGUACUGACGCUGAGACGCGAAAAGCGUGGGGAGCGAACAGG
rnacentral:rRNA from 1 species